AUCCCCUGUAGCACGAUGGAUAGUGUGUUGGACUUCUAAUCCAAAGGUCGUGGGUUCGCAUCCCACCUGGGAUG